rnacentral:lncRNA from 10 species
CUGGUACGGCCCUGCAGAGAUGCACUGAGGGAAGCCAAGCUGCCAUGUUGUAAGCUGCCCUAUGAAGGGACCCACAUGGCAAAGAAUGGAGAAUGACCCCAGCCAGCCAAGAACUCUCAGCCUACCGGCCCAUGAGGAACUGAAUCCUGCCAACAGCGAUGUGAGUGAACUUGGAAGUGGAUCCUUCUCCAGUGGCACCAUCAGAAGGCCCUCACCAGAUGCAGGCCUCUCAACCUUGGACUUUC